rnacentral:rRNA from 1 species
UCGAACGGGAAUUACUUUAUUGAAACUUCGGUCGAUUUAAUUUAAUUCUAGUGGCGGACGGGUGAGUAACGCGUGGGUAACCUGCCUUAUACAGGGGGAUAACAGUCAGAAAUGGCUGCUAAUACCGCAUAAGCGCACAGAGCUGCAUGGCUCAGUGUGAAAAACUCCGGUGGUAUAAGAUGGACCCGCGUUGGAUUAGCUUGUUGGUGGGGUAACGGCCCACCAAGGCGACGAUCCAUAGCCGGCCUGAGAGGGUGAACGGCCACAUUGGGACUGAGACACGGCCCAGACUCCUACGGGAGGCAGCAGUGGGGAGUAUUGCACAAUGGGGGAAACCCUGAUGCAGCGACGCCGCGUGAAGGAAGAAGUAUCUCGGUAUGUAAACUUCUAUCAGCAGGGAAGAUAGUGACGGUACCUGGCUAAGAAGCCCCGGCUAACUACGUGCCAGCAGCCGCGGUAAUACGUAGGGGGCAAGCGUUAUCCGGAUUUACUGGGUGUAAAGGGAGCGUAGACGGUGUGGCAAGUCUGAUGUGAAAGGCAUGGGCUCAACCUGUGGACUGCAUUGGAAACUGUCAUACUUGAGUGCCGGAGGGGUAAGCGGAAUUCC